rnacentral:rRNA from 1 species
CAGUCGCCACGGUAAUACGUAGGUGGCAAGCGUUGUCCGGAAUUAUUGGGCGUAAAGCGCGCGCAGGCGGAUAGGUCAGUCUGUCUUAAAAGUUCGGGGCUUAACCCCGUGAUGGGAUGGAAACUGCCAAUCUAGAGUAUCGGAGAGGAAAGUGGAAUUCCUAGUGUAGCGGUGAAAUGCGUAGAUAUUGGGAGGAACACCAGUGGCGAAGGCGGCUUUCUGGACUGCAACUGACGCUGAGGCUCGAAAGCCAGGGGAGCGAACGGGAUUAGAGACCCCUGUAGUCCCUGUCUCUUAUACA